rnacentral:rRNA from 1 species
GACGAACGCUGGCGGCGUGCUUAACACAUGCAAGUCGAACGGAAAGGCCCUGCUUUUGUUGGGUUCUCGAUUGGCGAACGGGUGAGUAUCACGUGAGUAACCUGCCCUUGUCUUUGGGAUAACUUCAGGAAACUGGGGCUAAUACCGGAUAGGAGCUCCUGCUGCAUGGUGGGGGUUGGAAAGUUUCGGCUGUUGGGGCUGGACUCGCGGCUUAUCAGCUUGUUGGUGGGGUAGUGGCUUACCAAGGCUUUGACGGGUAGCCGGCCUGAGAGGGUGACCGGCCACAUUGGGACUGCGGUAGGGACCAGAAUCCAACGGGAGGCAGCAGUGGGGAAUAUUGCACAAUGGGCGGAAGCCUGAUGCAGAAACGCCGCGUGCGGGAUGACGGCCUUCGGGUUAUGAACAGAUUUCGACUGAGACGAAGCGUGAGUGACGGUAAUGGGUAAAGAAGCACCGGCUAACUACGUG